rnacentral:lncRNA from 1 species
AAAUUGGAUCAGAUCGGAUUGGAUUUUUUUUAUUUGUCAUCCAAAACCGGACCGAAUCGCAAAUAAAUUUAUUUUUGGAUCAGAUGAAUUUUUACCUCAAAACCGAUCCAAAUCGAACCAUAACAUGUAACAAAAAAAUAAAAAUAUAACGUAACUGAAUACUCCAAUUAAUACGUUUCAUUAAAAAAACACAAAGGUAGCACCUUUAGAAAAGAAAUGGUAGCAAUUAG